rnacentral:lncRNA from 1 species
AAGAAGCACCAGCUUUACUAAAGGACAUAAGCCAACCCAUUCAAAGCAAAAGUCUCUCUAAAUAUUAAAAACCUAGCAAAAUUAUUGUGCAAUUUUAUAUUGAAUGCACUCAGUUUUGAUAUUUUUACACCCUGCCAUUUUACAUGUUACAGGUACAUAUUUUGCUACAUUCGAAGGCUAGGGGUCAAAUCGCAGUUGCAGCUGCCAACCUACACCACAGACAGAGCAACAGAGGAUCUGAGCUGCGCCUGCGACCCACAUCACAGCUGACAGCAACGCCGGAUCCUUAACCCACUGAGUGAGGCCGGGGAUCAAACCUGUAUCCUCACGGAUGCUAGUCAGAUUCGUUUCCACUGAGCCACAACGGGAACUCCAUGAUGUUAACGUCUUAAUGUUGACAAAAGUACCAUAAUAAUAUGAGAUGUGAACUUUCUUUUUUUUUUUUUUUUUGUCUGUCUGCCUUUUCUAGGGCCACACCCGAGGCAUAUGGAGGUUCCCAGGCUAGGGAUCUAACUGGAGAUGGUGCUGCCGGCCUAUGACAGAGCCACAGCAAUGCUGGAUCGGAGCCGUGUCUGCGACCACAGCUCAUGGCAACGCUGGAUCCUUAACCCACUGAGCAAGGCCAGGGAUCGAACCCGCAACCUCAUGAUUCCUAGUCGGAUUCGUUAACCACUGUGCCACGACAGGAACUCCGAGAUGUGAACUUUAGAGGAAGCUGGGUAAAGGGCAUUUGGGAUCUCUCUGCACUAUCUUUGCAACUCUUUUUUAAGUCUAAAAUAAUUCUAAAAUAGAAAGGGCUUUAAAAACCCAAUUUGCUUCAUACCUUGGGCUCCAACCUUCCGCCUUACAGUAAUAUAAAAAUAUUGCUUUUUACUUUGAAAUGAGAAUGUACCACCUACUCAGAACUCAAAUUAUUGUGAAUCCUGCCAACAGCCCUUACGACAAGCCAACAAGCUUACGUUUGGUUAUCCUAAGGAGCUGAGGCAUCUGCAGACCAUUUGAGCUACUCAGCUUAUACACUGUGUGAUAGAAAUUAAUUUCCUGGCUUCAGCUGGUUUUUCAGAAAUCACUCACAUCCAGCGCAUUGUUUAAUAAAGACGUUUAAAAUGUCUUUGUAUGAAAAUGGGGCUUCUAACGUCUCUUUUGUCUUUCUCUUCCUCUUUCGUCUUUUUCUUCUCAUUUUCUCUUCUGUCUCCACGCGUCUCCACGUGAGUCUUUCUCCCUGGUGAUCUCCUUUGACAGCCUUGACUUAUUUAAAUCCAGGUUAUUGGGGAAAAGUUUAAGAUAAGUGAUGAAUACACCCGAAGUUCAGACAGAACUAUGCACCAGCUGACUUAGGAUCCCUUCAACAUCAACGAUUUAAUAGAAAACGCUGGUGGCUUCCAUUGAACACCUCUACAAUAACACAGCCAACUACCUUGAAGGAUAAAAGUUAGCAGAUGUCAGAAAGGGCCUGAGGUUUAGAUUAUGGCUUUUCAGCUCUGAAGAGUCGCCCUAAAGUUAGACUCCGAGGAGGUCUAGCUUCUGAUAGUAUAAACAUUAUCACUUUGACAGGAAAGAGCUACUUUCUCCAGAAUCUUUUUAUACAUAGUAGAUUUUAGGUCAUCCUUAAUUUUUUUGCCUUUCAGUAGAGAGGGGGGUCAUUGACCUACAUACGGAGCCAUUUCAUUUCCUUACUCUUGAUGGCAGUGGUCUCCACACCUAGGGACCCAGCUCUGCUCCAACCCCUUUUAGUCAGCAAUUCACCAUGGGUGCAGGACUUUAAAACCUUUGAGUCUCUGAGUUCCUGGGAUUAAAAAAAAAAAAAAAA